rnacentral:rRNA from 1 species
UCGAACGGGCCUGAUUUCGGUCAGGCUAGUGGCGGACGGGUGAGUAACACGUGGGUGAUCUACCCCAAAGUCUGGGACAACUAGGGGAAACCUUAGCUAAUCCCGGAUGGUGAGGCUUCUCCUGUGAAGUCUCUAAAGAUUUAUCGCUUUGGGAUGAGCCCGCGGCGCAUCAGCUAGUUGGUGGGGUAAUGGCCUACCAAGGCGACGACGCGUAGCUGGUCUGAGAGGACGACCAGCCACAGGAGCACUGAGACACGGGCUCCACUCCUACGGGAGGCAGCAGUUAGGAAUCUUCGUCAAUGGGCGAAAGCCUGAACGAGCGACGCCGCUUGAGGGACGAAGCCCUUCGGGGUGUAAACCUCUGAACAGGGGACGAUGAUGACGGUACCCUGCUAAUAGCACCGGCUAACUCCGUGCCAGCAGCCGCGGUAAUACGGAGGGUGCGAGCGUUACCCGGAUUUACUGGGCGUAAAGGGCGUGUAGGCGGUUUUCUAAGUCCGGGGCUAAAGACCAGGGCUCAACCCUGGGUUUGCCUUGGAUACUGGAAAGCUCGACGGCUGG